CUAAAGCAGAUCCGGAGCUGGCAGACCCCAGACUGAUUCUCAACAGGUGGCUGGGUCGAUGUCCCAUUCCUUUCUCUGGAGGCCACCCUGGGAGGUCAGCUUGAGACUGCAGCUGAUGUCUGCAGCUGAUGAGUCCUGGUUGCUGCAGUCAUACAGGGAAUGCAUGCCCUUGUCCAGAGUCCUCUAUGGGUGGACAUCCUCACCCUCGCUGCCUGGCCUGUUUCCCUCACUGCAAGUUUUAGGAGUUUUGCAUUUUGAACACCCUCCCUCACAAGUGAUCUGUGGAGAAGCGCGAAGUUGAGGAGGAAGAAAGGGACCCGUGGGCCCAAGCAGAAUUCUGAAGGAAACGGAAAGCUAUGGAUUCCUUCAAAGUUAAUGGAGAUCAGAUUCAACAGGGGGAGACCUCCUGAGGAUCUUGGCUAUAGAAAAAACCAAGAAAGACUACAGGACGUGUGACAUAUAUGCAGAUCCCUCGACAUGGGAACAGCUCUAAGACUGAUGAGACAUGAUAAAUCUUGUUGACUACAGAGUCCUCACAACUUUUUGUUACAUGCCAGCCUUUCACAUAGCAUGGAUUGAGGCCCGGCUAUAGAGUCCAAACAAAUAUAAAGUUCACAGAUGCCAUUUACCUGCUCAAACAUAAAACAACAACAACGAAUCUUUCACUGACGUCUGCCUACUGCAUAUUCCAUUCUUGUGAACCAGAUACCAAUGGAGUCAAGUAGCCCAAGUGACCUAGUCUCUCAGAAUGUCUCUGUUGCAGUUUCCUCAAAAUUCAGCAUCCAGAACAAUUUCAAAACUGCUGAGAUAGUUCAGCCUCACAGAUUAUCUAGCCAAGACUUCAGAUAAGUUCUACACUUUCCCAUCACACAGAGACUAAACAUAAACUAGUACAACUAGCUCUCCCAGGACUUGAUCAUUAUCCCAA